AUUGAACGCUGGCGGCAGGCCUAACACAUGCAAGUCGAGCGCGCGGCGGGCGGGUGAGUCACGUCUGGGAACCUGCCUGAUGGCGGGGGAUAACUACUGGAAACGGUGCCUAAUACCGCAUACCAUUGGAUUAUCCAUUAUGGGAUUAGCUAUUAGGUGGGGUAAAGGCUCACCAAGGCGCCGAUCCCUAACUGGUCUGAGAGGAUGAUCAGCCACACUGGAACUGAGACACGGCCCAGACUCCUACGGGAGGCAGCAGUGGGGAAUAUUGCACAAUGGGCGCAAGCCUGAGGCAGCCAUGCCGCGUGUAUGAAGAAGGCCUUAGGAUUGUAAAGUACUUUCAUCGGGGAGGCGUUACCCGCAGAAGAAGCCACGGCUAACUCCGUGCCAGCAGCCGCGGUAAUUC
rnacentral:rRNA from 1 species